rnacentral:rRNA from 1 species
AUGAACGCUGGCGGCGUGCUUAACACAUGCAAGUCGAACGGUGAAGCAGAGCUUGCUCUGUGGAUCAGUGGCGAACGGGUGAGUAACACGUGAGCAACCUGCCCCUGACUCUGGGAUAAGCGCUGGAAACGGCGUCUAAUACUGGAUAUGAGCUGCGACCGCAUGGUCAGCAGUUGGAAAGAUUUUUCGGUCUGGGAUAGGCUCACGGCCUACCAGCUUGUUGGUGAGGUAAUGGCUCACCAAGGCGUCGACGGGUAGCCGGCCUGAGAGGGUGACCGGCCACACUGGGACUGAGACACGGCCCAGACUCCUACGGGAGGCAGCAGUGGGGAAUAUUGCACAAUGGGCGAAAGCCUGAUGCAGCAACGCCGCGUGAGGGAUGACGGCCUUCGGGUUGUAAACCUCUUUUAGCAGGGAAGAAGCGAAAGUGACGGUACCUGCAGAAAAAGCGCCGGCUAACUACGUG